UGGGGAAUCUUGGACAAUGGGCGCAAGCCUGAUCCAGCCAUGCCGCGUGAGUGAAGAAGGCCUUAGGGUUGUAAAGCUCUUUUGGCAGGGACGAUAAUGACGGUACCUGCAGAAUAAGCCCCGGCAAACUUCGUGCCAGCAGCCGCGGUAAUACGAAGGGGGCUAGCGUUGUUCGGAUUUACUGGGCGUAAAGCGCACGUAGGCGGAUUGUUAAGUCAGGGGUGAAAUCCCGGAGCUCAACUCCGGAACUGCCUUUGAUACUGGCAAUCUUGAGGCUGGAAGAGGUUGGUAGAAUUCCCAGUGUAGAGGUGAAAUUCGUAGAUAUUGGGAAGAAUACCAGUGUCGAAGGCGGCCAACUGGUCCAGAUCUGACGCUGAGGUGCGAAAGCGUGGGGAACAAACA
rnacentral:rRNA from 1 species